rnacentral:rRNA from 1 species
CCCGUCCGCUCAGCCGUACUUAAGCCACACGCCGGGAGGUUAGUAGUUGGGUGGGUGACCACCAGCGAAUCCCUUCUGUUGUAUGUU